UCCUCCCUCCUUCCUCCCCUUUCCCCCGUCACCGACGGCUCUUCUCUUCCCCUCCCCCUCCCCUAACCCCCCCCUGCAUAUGCGCCGAACAAGCCGCUACUGUCGUCCUUCCCUCCUCUCCCUCGCCACAGCGCCGCUUCCUCUUCUCUCUUUCCCCACGCUGUCGACGUCAAGCGAGGAAGAGAAGCUUCCCCCGUCGUCGAUCUAGUUCCUGCCGUCGUCAUUUCGCUCGCCCGACGCUGGGAACGAGCUCCCCGCUAUCGGAACCCACGAGCAGAGCUUUCCAACUGCGUUUUCCCCGCCGGCAGCUGUGUUCGACCUCGUCGGAGGCGAGACUUUUUGGCCUCGAUCCGAUUUCUUCCAGCGAGUUUCCUGCCAAAACUCUUGCGAUUUUAGACUUCUUGCAACUGAAGCUUCACGUCGGCGCUUUUCGGACCGUCGUAUUUUUCGGACGUGCAUAAUUUUUACUUUUCGACUCGGUAGAAUUUUAUUUAGACAUUAAAAAAUUAUUUUAUAAUUUUAAAAAAUAUUAUUAUUAUCAAUUAUCAAUUUUAAAUAAUUUAAUUAAUCAGAUUUAGUUAAUUUUGACUUAUAUCUAAAUGCUACAAAUUAAUGGAUAUAGUUCAUUAUUGUGUUGUUUUGUGGUAGAUGUGAUUAUGUUGAAUUAGUUUAAAUACCAUAAAAUUUUGUGAGGGUUAGUUGUCCAAAUAAAUAUUAUGUUGGACCGUCUGUAAGACAAUUGUGUUAUGUGGUAUGUUGCACAGUCGAAAAAAAUAAUAUAGUUUUGGUGGCCCGACUCUCAUUCAUUAAUUUCAGAAUAUUUGAAGUAUUUCUAACAGUUCUGGACCGUUAUACAGGGGUUAAACGUCUAUAUUUUAAAGGAGAUUUUGCCGAAUUUUUAGUAAAAUUUUCGAGUCUGAAAUCUCUUAGGCAGUCUAAUUUAGGAGUCUAGGCGUAGAAAAAAUUUAGAAUAUCUUAUUAACUGAGUAUUUUUGUGAAUAGAUAAUCUGUCCAUCCAGCCAAUUCCACCCGAGACCUAGGAGCAUACUGCAGAGCGCGGCAGAACUGUGAGUUAAAGUUAUAUAAUCAACUGUGCUCUUGUCAUGUCUAAAUUAAAUGCGAUACUAAUUGAUUAAUAAUUAUUAUAAUUAUUAUUAUUGUUAUUAUGGAUAAUUUCAUUUCAUUGAUAAUUAUCAUAAAUAUUAUUAGCAUUAUUAUUAGUAAAUUUAUUUUCACUAUUAUCAAUAUCAUGAUUAUUAUUAUUACACAUAAUUUUGCAUGUCUGUUUUACUCGAGACUAUUAAAUUUUAAUUUUCAAUGUGUUAUUGAAUAAAUUGUGUUUGCCUAUAAUUAUAUUGUUUAUAAUUAUUAUAUAUGUUAUGAUUGUGACAUUGGGAUGAGGCGACAGUAGAACAAUGUCGCCUGAUGGGUUGCAUCAGGACCGCAUGCGCACCGGUAUUAAUCAUAGACAGGUUGUAAAUGUUAUUUUUGGGUUUUACCCUGGUCGAGUAUAACUCUCUAGGCUGUGGAAGUUUGACUGCCAGAGGAAGGUCCAUGGUCGAGCGUUGCUCUCUGAGCGCCUAUUUAUUUGGGAAUCAAGUGUCCAGGCUGAAUUUAAGGACCUUGGUUGAGCUUCGCUCUCUGGGCGCCAGAUCUAUUGGAAUAAGAGAACCGAAAGACUACUAAUAUUGGAGGUGACAGUUAGAUUCUCUGCCGUCCUGCGUUGACGACCCGACUUCUUUCUCUAUCAGGCCUACUGUAAUUAAUUUAUAUUUUCAUAUUUUUAAUUAUUUAAAAUUCUAGACUCUCCGCAGCAGAAUGCCUGAUAUAUUAGUAAAUUAUGGAAUGUUGUUAAUGUCUAGUUAGAGAUUUUUGCAUGGCA